GAGGACCCCGCGGCCGAUUAGCUAGUUGGUGGGGUAAAGGCUCACCAAGGCGAAGAUCGGUAGCCGGCCUGAGAGGGCACACGGCCACACUGGCACUGAAACACGGGCCAGACUCCUACGGGAGGCAGCAGUGGGGAAUCUUGCACAAUGGGGGCAACCCUGAUGCAGCGACGCCGCGUGAGCGAUGAAGCCCUUCGGGGCGUAAAGCUCUUUCGGCCCGAACGAUCAUGACGGUACGGGAAGAAGAAGCUGCGGCUAACUACGUGCCAGCAGCCGCGGUAAUACGUAGGCAGCAAGCGUUGUUCGGAGUUACUGGGCGUAAAGAGUGCGUAGGCGGUGUCGCAAGUUUGGUGUGAAAUCUCCCGGCUUAACUGGGAGGGUGCGCCGAAAACUGCGAGGCUGGAGUGUGGGAAAGGCAAGCGGAAUUCCUGGUGUAGCGGUGAAAUGCGUAGAUAUCAGGAGGAACACCGGCGGUGUAGACGGCUUGCUAGACCAUAACUGACGCUGAGGCACGAAAGCGUGGGUAGCAAACAGGAUUAGAUACCCUGGUAGUCCACGCCCUAAACGAUGCAUACUUGGUGU
rnacentral:rRNA from 1 species